AUGACCGACGGAAGGAACCCAGCAGAACAAGUGCAUAUGGUCUUUGAGAGAUUGACACUAAAGAAAAUUGCCCCCGCGUCGUCCGCCUGGGCGACUCGGGCGGCUACUCGAUCUGCUUUUCUCGGCAGUUCCCCGUGCGUCCUCCCCUCGCCGCCGGCGGUCGGCGCCGCUGGGCUCGCCUAUGCGGUUGACGGCGGCGGCGGGGUUCCAAUCUCGUGGCAAUUUUGGCAGUGGUUUGGCGAGGUGCAGCGGCGGCUUAGAUGUUGUGAAGGCGGAAAAGAUGCAGCGGCGGCCCUCCGCGCGGGGCUCGAUCCAACGUAUGCAUGGAUGUUGGGUGGCCAGAUCGGCAUGAAGAUGCAGGCCGCUGCCACUCAUGGAUGCCAUGGUCACCGAUGGAGGGAGCCUCGCGGCGUCGUCAAUUCCUCGGCAGAAGCACGGAACAACUCCUCUCUGCCAUGUCAAGAGUGGAGAUCCAACCUGAGAGCGUGUAGCAUGCUCAUGCCAUGGCCGUUGCUCCUGGAGUGGCUUUUGGUGUUGGGACACGGCAGGUUGAGGCGGUGGCCAACUGCAGUUAUGGUGGCCGUCGCCCUCAUCUCCUGCGGAGAGGCGCAGUCAUGGUGGUCUUUUGCUCGGGCUCGGGCGCAAGUUCAGGUGUUGCUUUUGAAGAACCCUUCUCGUAGUCUUUUGUAUUGUCAAGAGAUGAUGGACGUUCACGGCAUAGCUUUGGUCUUGCAUGACUUUGCUUUUGCCGGCGUGAUCAUCUUCUGUGUUUUGUUGGCCGUGUGCAUCUUAGUUAUGCAGAGACCGGCCCGACCCGUUCGUCCAUUCCCCUCUGUCUCGCCUUCUUCUCUGCCUGCCUCCGCCGCCGCCUCCGCCGUCCAUUUGUCGCCGCCGGCCGCCGCAGCGAUGGUGUCCUGGAAGGACGGCGAAACUAGUAGCGAAGAUUCUGUGUCCCCCCACUUCAACUCGCACGAGGAGGAGACCUAUAUCCCACAGACCAUUCUUGACCCGGAGUGGUGCGGUAUUGUUGCCGGAGGACCGAUGUGCUGUCACAACCUUCCUGUUCAUAGGGCUGUUGUGUUUCAAGGAAUCAACACUGGCCGUAGGUUUUAUGGAUGCGCUAAUCAGGAAGGUGACAAUUGUGGUCUGGUUCAAUGGAUUGACCCAGAAUGGCCAGAACCCAUGAAAAAUGCACUACGCAAACUUUGGGACAUAGGAGAAGAAGCUAAUCCAAGAGAAGCACCACAACCACAUCAAAGAAACAAGCAAUUUUUUUCAACAAUUCACAAGAAUGUGAUGAGGGAGAACUAUCAGAAGAUUAUGCAGGAUGGUGAUGUAGAGAAUGCUGUACUUCAAGCCCAGGAAGAGAAGGCUAAGCUUGAGAAAGACAAUAUUGAGCUGAGGACAUCACUACAAGUCAUUAAGCAGAGCACUGAUGAACUUGUUAGCAAUUGGAAGAAACAUGUAGCAGAUGAAGGUCUUCAACAGAUUGAACAGAUGAAGAAGGAGAAGAAAAAGUUAGAGUAUAUCAUAGCUGAUUUGCUGAAGGAUGGGGAGGCAAACAAGGUUUCUCAUAUUGAUAGAGGAGCAAAAGUUUGUAAUACUAUUGUUAGGCUAGAGAGCCUAUCGACAACCGUCGACAAGAUGAACCAACAACUUUAUGGGCUAACCAUAGGCUAG
rnacentral:rRNA from 1 species